rnacentral:rRNA from 1 species
AGCGUACACGGUGGAUGCCCUGGCAGUCAGAGGCGAUGAAGGACGUGCUAAUCUGCGAUAAGCGUCGGUAAGGUGAUAUGAACCGUUAUAACCGGCGAUUUCCGAAUGGGGAAACCCAGUGUGUUUCGACACACUAUCAUUAACUGAAUCCAUAGGUUAAUGAGGCGAACCGGGGGAACUGAAACAUCUAAGUACCCCGAGGAAAAGAAAUCAACCGAGAUUCCCCCAGUAGCGGCGAGCGAACGGGGAGGAGCCCAGAGCCUGAAUCAGUGUGUGUGUUAGUGGAAGCGUCUGGAAAGGCGCGCGAUACAGGGUGACAGCCCCGUACACAAAAAUGCACAUGCUGUGAGCUCGAUGAGUAGGGCGGGACACGUGGUAUCCUGUCUGAAUAUGGGGGGACCAUCCUCCAAGGCUAAAUACUCCUGACUGACCGAUAGUGAACCAGUACCGUGAGGGAAAGGCGAAAAGAACCCCGGCGAGGGGAGUGAAAAAGAACCUGAAACCGUGUACGUACAAGCAGUGGGAGCACGCUUCGGCGUGUGACUGCGUACCUUUUGUAUAAUGGGUCAGCGACUUAUAUUCUGUAGCAAGGUUAACCGAAUAGGGGAGCCGAAGGGAAACCGAGUCUUAACUGGGCGUUAAGUUGCAGGGUAUAGACCCGAAACCCGGUGAUCUAGCCAUGGGCAGGUUGAAGGUUGGGUAACACUAACUGGAGGACCGAACCGACUAAUGUUGAAAAAUUAGCGGAUGACUUGUGGCUGGGGGUGAAAGGCCAAUCAAACCGGGAGAUAGCUGGUUCUCCCCGAAAGCUAUUUAGGUAGCGCCUCGUGAAUUCAUCUCCGGGGGUAGAGCACUGUUUCGGCAAGGGGGUCAUCCCGACUUACCAACCCGAUGCAAACUGCGAAUACCGGAGAAUGUUAUCACGGGAGACACACGGCGGGUGCUAACGUCCGUCGUGAAGAGGGAAACAACCCAGACCGCCAGCUAAGGUCCCAAAGUCAUGGUUAAGUGGGAAACGAUGUGGGAAGGCCCAGACAGCCAGGAUGUUGGCUUAGAAGCAGCCAUCAUUUAAAGAAAGCGUAAUAGCUCACUGGUCGAGUCGGCCUGCGCGGAAGAUGUAACGGGGCUAAACCAUGCACCGAAGCUGCGGCAGCGACACUAUGUGUUGUUGGGUAGGGGAGCGUUCUGUAAGCCUGUGAAGGUGUGCUGUGAGGCAUGCUGGAGGUAUCAGAAGUGCGAAUGCUGACAUAAGUAACGAUAAAGCGGGUGAAAAGCCCGCUCGCCGGAAGACCAAGGGUUCCUGUCCAACGUUAAUCGGGGCAGGGUGAGUCGACCCCUAAGGCGAGGCCGAAAGGCGUAGUCGAUGGGAAACAGGUUAAUAUUCCUGUACUUGGUGUUACUGCGAAGGGGGGACGGAGAAGGCUAUGUUGGCCGGGCGACGGUUGUCCCGGUUUAAGCGUGUAGGCUGGUUUUCCAGGCAAAUCCGGAAAAUCAAGGCUGAGGCGUGAUGACGAGGCACUACGGUGCUGAAGCAACAAAUGCCCUGCUUCCAGGAAAAGCCUCUAAGCAUCAGGUAACAUCAAAUCGUACCCCAAACCGACACAGGUGGUCAGGUAGAGAAUACCAAGGCGCUUGAGAGAACUCGGGUGAAGGAACUAGGCAAAAUGGUGCCGUAACUUCGGGAGAAGGCACGCUGAUAUGUAGGUGAAGUCCCUUGCGGAUGGAGCUGAAAUCAGUCGAAGAUACCAGCUGGCUGCAACUGUUUAUUAAAAACACAGCACUGUGCAAACACGAAAGUGGACGUAUACGGUGUGACGCCUGCCCGGUGCCGGAAGGUUAAUUGAUGGGGUUAGCGGUAACGCGAAGCUCUUGAUCGAAGCCCCGGUAAACGGCGGCCGUAACUAUAACGGUCCUAAGGUAGCGAAAUUCCUUGUCGGGUAAGUUCCGACCUGCACGAAUGGCGUAAUGAUGGCCAGGCUGUCUCCACCCGAGACUCAGUGAAAUUGAACUCGCUGUGAAGAUGCAGUGUACCCGCGGCAAGACGGAAAGACCCCGUGAACCUUUACUAUAGCUUGACACUGAACAUUGAGCCUUGAUGUGUAGGAUAGGUGGGAGGCUUUGAAGUGUGGACGCCAGUCUGCAUGGAGCCGACCUUGAAAUACCACCCUUUAAUGUUUGAUGUUCUAACGUUGGCCCCUGAUCGGGGUUGCGGACAGUGUCUGGUGGGUAGUUUGACUGGGGCGGUCUCCUCCUAAAGAGUAACGGAGGAGCACGAAGGUUGGCUAAUCCUGGUCGGACAUCAGGAGGUUAGUGCAAUGGCAUAAGCCAGCUUGACUGCGAGCGUGACGGCGCGAGCAGGUGCGAAAGCAGGUCAUAGUGAUCCGGUGGUUCUGAAUGGAAGGGCCAUCGCUCAACGGAUAAAAGGUACUCCGGGGAUAACAGGCUGAUACCGCCCAAGAGUUCAUAUCGACGGCGGUGUUUGGCACCUCGAUGUCGGCUCAUCACAUCCUGGGGCUGAAGUAGGUCCCAAGGGUAUGGCUGUUCGCCAUUUAAAGUGGUACGCGAGCUGGGUUUAGAACGUCGUGAGACAGUUCGGUCCCUAUCUGCCGUGGGCGCUGGAGAACUGAGGGGGGCUGCUCCUAGUACGAGAGGACCGGAGUGGACGCAUCACUGGUGUUCGGGUUGUCAUGCCAAUGGCACUGCCCGGUAGCUAAAUGCGGAAGAGAUAAGUGCUGAAAGCAUCUAAGCACGAAACUUGCCCCGAGAUGAGUUCUCCCUGACUCCUUGA